UACGGAGGGGGCUAGCGUUAUUCGGAAUUACUGGGCGUAAAGCGCACGUAGGCGGCUUUGUAAGUAAGAGGUGAAAGCCCGGAGUUCAACUCCGGAACUGCCUUUUAGACUGCAUCGCUUGAAUCCAGGAGAGGUGAGUGGAAUUCCGAGUGUAGAGGUGAAAUUCGUAGAUAUUCGGAAGAACACCAGUGGCGAAGGCGGCUCACUGGACUGGUAUUGACGCUGAGGUGCGAAAGCGUGGGGAGCAAACAGG
rnacentral:rRNA from 1 species